CUAGGACCUAAUGAAGGUUUUAUAAACGUUAGCUGAGAUGCUGUCCUCUAGUAAAUCAGCAGCAAAUUGUAAGACUUGAUUAAGUAUGACCGUCUACAUAUCCUUUGUGCAUUUUGCUAAUUUUUUUUUUUUCUUUCCCAUCUGUUUCCUUAAUUUAUCAGAAUAGUUAUGAAUCAUAUCUGGAAGGACAUGAAGCAAGAAACAGUAAAAGAUCCUAAUGAGACAUGCCGGAGAGAUAGCCUGGAUUACUGUAUUGGUUGAACCCCACUUUGGACAGGGCAGUGCAUGGGGCAAAUGAAGUAAGCUGGGCUGAAAGCUGAGAACUUAUCACAAAUGGUGGAGAAUGCCGGGACUGUUCCUUGUGGCUCCAUGCUGAAACAACUGGGUGAAUGGGACUGUGCUACACUCAUGCUGUAAUACCCAGUAGGACAAAGGUGAGAGACUGCCACACGAAACUUCUGGAGUAUCAGUUAUAGGUUGUCAGCCCACCUCUCAGUGAGCAUGUAACACUUUGCACAGGUACUCAUCAGUACAUUUACUGCCAUUUUAGGACCAAUGACUUUCAAAAUGACCCGUGUAGAGUCACAGAAGACACACUACAUGCUGUGAGCCUCACCACUGUCUUACUGUGCCUUGGUGAUCAAAAGAACAGUAUGGGAUGGAGGGUUAAUGGAAAAACACAGUAUAACUUUUGGAAUAAAGGCACGUUCAUCUCGCUCCAAAUUCUUCAUGGCAACUCUCUUACAUACUGGAAAAAGCAACCUUGUGAUGUGUUAAUGGUUUGGUUUUACCAGCUGUGAGAAAGCACUCAGCCAGUUGGCACUUUACUGAAAAAUAUGUCACUGUAUCCUUUUAGCUAAUGAUAAAAAAAUAAAGAGCAGUUAUGGCAUAUUUUCAUGCAGUAUAUUGGCCUAGAUGCCUCAUGAAUGGCAAUGCUAACAUAUUAGAAUAUUGUGAUGCCUAGAUCUUAUAAUUUAAAAUGAUUGUAUGAAAUCUCAUGGCAGCAAAAUCCGCUUUCUCAAUUUAUAAUUUAAAGAAGAUAUUUCCAUUUUUAAUAAAAAAUAUAUAUGUUCUGUGUUAAUAUAUUGUCCAGCUGUGCUAAAAAAGCUAAAUGUAAGUAUUGCUUAUUCUACUCUGGUGAGUCACAUUAGCUUGGUUUGUCAUCCUCUGAUUAUAAAUGUCCAAGGAAAUCCUGGACAGUAUCCAAAUGUGACAUCUCUGUAUACAGGUGACUUGGACAAAAAUUUCAAUCCAAAUACAGCUGUAUGUUUACGUUAUCAAGCAGAUGAUGUGUAUCUAUUGAACAAGGCGCAUGCAUAUAUAUAAUUACUCAAUAAUGGAAUAUAUGUGGGUCCUUUUUGGAACCACAUAUACCUGAGUGCAUGCAAACAUUCAUGACAUGUGUAAAUAUGGUGAUAAUUUUGUUGAAAAAGACCUUUAGUCAUCUGGCAGUCUCUGAAGUGCAGCAGUAUGGCACAUUAAGUAUGUAAAAAAAGAAAACUGUCUUGUUUGAGUAUAAAUUUAAUCUUCCACAAGAAAAUAGAGUGCUCAGACUUUCCAGAAGGUUAGGAAAAGUUUGUUCUUAACUUUAGAAAAGGAAGGUUAUAAAAAAGGAAGGAAUACAAGAUAAUGUGAAAGAAUUAAUCAUACUAUCAGUUUUCUCACAGUCUUUAUAUCAGAUGAGGUUUUGAAUAAUAAGCUAUUUGACUGUGCUUAUACAGUUAUUGUUCUAUCUCAUUUAGAACUAGGAGUUAUGUUACUCUGGGGGAAAAAGAAACCAAAACAAGUGCAAAUAUGUCUUCAUAGUCAAGCCAGUAAGGUUGAAUGCCAAAGCCGAAAUGCAAGCCAUUGAGCAGUAAGGUGGUUGCCAGUGUUUCAGGUGCUCAUAAUUGAGCUAUAAAAACAACCUGCCUUUUAGAAGGUGGUAUGUGUGCCUAUCUUUUUAACAUGACUUCUUAAAUUAGUCUGAGCUAAGCCUCAGUCUUACAGCAUUACACUGGAAGAUUCUGAGGGGUAUAAUUUCCAUGCAGGAUUUCCUUUAUAAAAGCUUUCUGUCAAAAACUCUUCAUAGAGAAAAUCUGGAUGUAAGGUUCCUUUUUUUGUGUUCAAACAAAAACCUGUCUGUAAUUAAACCAUCUUUAAAGUUUA